rnacentral:rRNA from 1 species
AGUUUGAUCCUGGCUCAGGACGAACGCUGGCGGCGCGCCUAACACAUGCAAGUCGAACGAAGCGGGAGUUAGGACUGAGGAUUCAGAAUAAAUGAAAUCACUCUGAAUCCCGAAUCCUGACUCCCGGCUUAGUGGCGGACGGGUGAGUAACACGUGAGCAACCUGCCUUACUCAGGGGGAUAACACCGGGAAACCGAUGCUAAUACCGCAUAACAUAUAUGUUUCGCAUGAAAUAUAUAUCAAAGAUUUAUCGGAGUAAGAUGGGCUCGCGGCUGAUUAGCUCGUUGGCGGGGUAACGGCCCACCAAGGCAACGAUCAGUAGCCGGACUGAGAGGUCGAUCGGCCACAUUGGGACUGAGACACGGCCCAGACUCCUGCGGGAGGCAGCAGUGGGGGAUAUUGCACAAUGGGGGAAACCCUGAUGCAGCGACGCCGCGUGAGGGAAGAAGGUUUUCGGAUUGUAAACCUCUGUCCUUAGGGAAGAUAAUGACGGUACCUAAGGAGGAAGCCACGGCUAACUACGUGCCAGCAGCCGCGGUAAUACGUAGGUGGCAAGCGUUGUCCGGAAUUACUGGGCGUAAAGGGAGCGUAGGCGGGACUAUAAGUUGAAUGUGAAAUUUACAGGCUUAACCUGUAAGCUGCGUUCAAAACCGUAGAUCUUGAGUGAAGUAGAGGCAGUUGGAAUUCCUAGUGUAGCGGUGAAAUGCGUAGAUAUUAGGAGGAACACCAGUGGCGAAGGCGGACUGCUGGGCUUUAACUGACGCUGAGGCUCGAAAGCGUGGGGAGCAAACAGGAUUAGAUACCCUGGUAGUCCACGCCGUAAACGAUGAUUACUAGGUGUGGGGGGGUCAAACCUUCCGUGCCGGAGUUAACACAAUAAGUAAUCCGCCUGGGGAGUACGGUCGCAAGACUGAAACUCAAAUGAAUUGAC